rfam:Echinostoma caproni strain Egypt genome assembly, scaffold: ECPE_scaffold0016138
AAACCGGCCCUUUUCAGGGCCACUACAUUGUGAUUGUUUUUCUUUUU